GAUGAACGCUAGCGGCAGGCCUAAUACAUGCAAGCUGAACGGUAAAUGUUGUAGCAAUACGAUAUGAGAGUAGCGUAAGGGUGCGUAACACGUAUGCAAUCUACCCGCAACAGGAGGAUAGCUCCCCGAAAGGGGAAUUAAUACUCCAUAAUAUCACGAGAGGGCAUCUGAUUGUGAUUAAACUCCAAGGGGUUGCGGAUGAGCAUGCGUCUGAUUAGUUAGUUGGUGAGGUAACGGCUCACCAAGACGAUGAUCAGUAGGGGAACUGAGAGGUUGAUCCCCUACACUGGCACUGAGAUACGGGCCAGACUCCUACGGGAGGCAGCAGUAGGGAAUAUUGGUCAAUGGGUGAGAGCCUGAACCAGCCAUGCCGCGUGCAGGAAGAAAGCCUUCUGGGUUGUAAACUGCUUUUGCCAGGGGAUAAAAUACCCAUGCGUGGGGAAUUGAAGGUACCUGGUGAAUAAGCCACGGCUAACUACGUGCCAGCCGCCGCCGUAAAAC
rnacentral:rRNA from 1 species